rnacentral:rRNA from 1 species
GACGAACCGAGCGAACGUUGUUCGGAAUCACUGGGCUUAAAGGGCGCGUAGGCGGGUAUUCAAGUCUGUGGUGAAAUCCGGCAGCUCAACUGUCGAAUUGCCGUGGAUACUGGGUAUCUCGAGGGAGGUAGGGGCGUGCGGAACUAAUGGUGGAGCGGUGAAAUGCGUUGAUAUCAUUAGGAACUCCGGUGGCGAAGGCGGCACGCUGGACCUCUUCUGAUGCUGAGGCGCGAAAGCCAGGGGAGCAAACGGG